rnacentral:rRNA from 1 species
UACAGAGGGUGCGAGCGUUAAUCGGAAUUACUGGGCGUAAAGCGUGCGUAGACGGUUAUUUAAGUCGGGUGUGAAAGCCCCCGGGCUCAACCUGGGAAUUGCAUUCGAGACUGAAUAGCUAGGGUACGGUAGAGGGAAGUGGAAUUUCCGGUGUAGCGGUGAAAUGCGUAGAUAUCGGAAGGAACAUCAGUGGCGAAAGCGACUUCCUGGACC